GCCAAAGAUACUUUGGCAUACGAUAAGUUGUCCCUGAUCCUUCAGCUGUCAACAUCGAAUCUUCGCAACACCUGGCACAGAAGGUUACCUUGGUAUCGAGCACUGAAGGUGGACAGACAAGUGGUCGUGAUGGGGUUGACGCAGCAGAACCUUACAGAUGCUCCACCUGCGAUUCCUGCUUUCCGGAUGUCGGUGAGAUGUUGGUGCACAGUGUGGCCUGCCGUAACGAAGCCCUCACGAGCAAGACGGACAAUAAACGCACCAGCGCCAGUACUGAAGACGCUGCCGUAGACACUGAACUAGCGGGUUUUCCAAGCGAAUGCGUCGUCUGUAGACAGGCAUUCAAAACCUGGCGUGAACUCGGGAAGCAUAUGCAGUCACAUGAUCCCGCACCAACCGAGCCAACCUUCUUCGAGAACUGCUGCAUGGCUGACGGAACCAUCCAGUGCAUGGUCUGUGGUGUCAUCACGCCAGAUAAACGUUCCCUCCGCCGGCACUUCGCAACUCACACCAAUGUGCGCCAAUUCUUCUGCCCAAAGUGCCCGUCUAGCUUCAAGGCAUCCUGGAGCUUCAUUAGCCACUUCAAGACAGCUCACACAUCACUCCCCAGAGUUUAUCGAUGCAAGCUGUGCAAAUUCACGACCUCGCACCACAUCAUUCUACAACAACACAGAUAGAAACAUGACGACAUGGU